UGUCCUCCGGCAGGUGCAGAACUCCAGUCUGGAUGGGUCCGGGGUGUGCCUAGCUGGGUCUCCACUGUGCAUUCUGUGUCCCUACCUGCACCGGACGACGGGGGACACAGAACGCAAGUACCACCUGCGUUACUACAAAACAGGAACCUGCAUCCACGAGACAGACGCACGUGGCCACUGCGU
rnacentral:sRNA from 1 species